UACAUGGGGUGCAAACGUUGCUCGGAAUCAUUGGGCGUAAAGCGCGCGUAGGCGGUUGCUUAAGUCGGAUGUGAAAGCCCUCGGCUUAACUGAGGAAGUGCAUCCGAAACUGAGCAGCUAGAGUACGAAAGAGGGUCGCGGAAUUCCCGGUGUAGAGGUGAAAUUCGUAGAUAUCGGGAGGAACACCGGUGGCGAAGGCGGCGACCUGGGUCGAGACUGACGCUGAGGCGCGAAAGCGUGGGGAGCAAACAGGAUAG
rnacentral:rRNA from 1 species